UGCAGAGAUGCGGGGGUGCCUUCGGGAACCAGAGACAGGUGCUGCAUGGCUGUCGUCAGCUCGUGUCUUGAGAUGUUGGGUUAAGUCCCGCAACGAGCGCAACCCUUGUCCUUAUUUGCCAUCAUUUAGUUGGGAACUCUAUGGAGACCGCCGGUGACAAACCGGAGGAAGGUGGGGAUGACGUCAAGUCAUCAUGGCCCUUAUGACCAGGGCUACACACGUGCUACAAUGGCCGGUACAAAGGGGUGCCAACCCCCCGGGGGGAGCUAAUCCCAAAAAACCGGUCCUAAUCCGGAUUGGAGUCUGCAACUCCCCUCCCUGAAAUCGGAAUCCCUAGUAAUCCCAAAUCAACAUUGCCGCGGUGAAUACAUUCCCGGGUCUUGUACACACCG
rnacentral:rRNA from 1 species